GGAUUAGAUACCCUGGUAGUCCACGCCGUAAACGAUGAGUGCUAGAUGUCGCGAACAUUGACCUUUGCGGUGUCGUAGCUAACGCGUUAAGCACUCCGCCUGGGGAGUACGGCCGCAAGGCUAAAACUCAAAGGAAUUGACGGGGGCCCGCACAAGCGGUGGAGCAUGUGGUUUAAUUCGACGCAACGCGCAGAACCUUACCUAGGCUAGAAAAAGUAGGAAUCCCGCAGAGACGUGGGAGUGCCGGCAACGGAAUCUACGUCCAGGUGCUGCAUGGCUGUCGUCAGCUCGUGCUG
rnacentral:rRNA from 1 species